GAACCCUCAAGCUCUGCUUGGUGUUGGGUGUUUGUCCCGCCAUUGCGCGUGGACUCGCCUUAAAGCAAUUGGCAGCCAUGUAAUCCGGCUUUGAGCGCAGCACAUUGCGUACUCUCUACUGGGACAUGGGCAUCCAGAAGCCUUAUUUUUUAC
rnacentral:misc_RNA from 1 species